AAAUGUGCAAAGACGCAUAGACCAAGGAUGUUCAUUACCAUGCUGCUUAAAAUACUGAACAGCUAUUGCAAAAAGAAAUCUCGUCUUUAAAGAGAAACCUGCUCCAUAAAGAAGAGUAAGCAGGGUCGGGUCUGGCCCGGAUGCUGGUUCAGGGGUUUCCUUCAAAGACGGAGGUGGGGCCUGGGGUCAGACGAUGCUGGGGACCCAGGUAGUUCGUCCCCUUGAGCAGGUCACAACCUCAGCACUCAGUUUGAGGCUAAGGAAGUGGAGCGAAGAGAAGCAACCUCCCCAGAGUCACUGGGAGGCUGAGAUGCAGCACUUGCGGCUGAUUGACGAGAAAGAGGUGCGGAGUGGACGUGGGAAGCUGAGAACCUCUCUGGUCAGCUCUUGGAAAAAGAAGGAACUCUCUCCUUUGAAAGGAGCUCAGGGUUUGUCGAGAAGCCAGCUUGAGCCCCUUGGAUUCCAGAGCCGAGGAAAUGUGCAACAUUCUAUCUCAGCGUGGAGAGAAUGCGGAUCUCAUCAAUGACCACUUUUCAUGGACUUUUCAGAUUUGGAGCAGUUCAGAAGCCCUUUUAUACCCUCUGAACCCUCACAUAGGUGCUGAAGAGAAUAAAGAUUUCCUCCUUCCAAUCUUCCCA
rnacentral:lncRNA from 1 species